rnacentral:rRNA from 1 species
UCUGCCCUAUCAACUUUCGAUGGUAGGAUAGUGGCCUACCAUGGUUUUAACGGGUAACGGGGAAUUAGGGUUCUAUUCCGGAGAGGGAGCCUGAGAAACGGCUACCACAUCCAAGGAAGGCAGCAGGCGCGCAAAUUACCCAAUCCCGAUACGGGGAGGUAGUGACAAUAAAUACCGAUACGGGGCUCUUUUGGGUCUUGUAAUUGGAAUGAGUACAAUCUAAAUCCCUAACGAGAA